CUCUAUGAAAGCUUGGGAUUUACCCCGCUAAUGUACUUGUAUUAGGACGUUCUCUACACGUUCGGAAUAGAUUAUCAAGAAAAUUUAUCUAAAGUCUGAUCAAAUUCAUUUAGAUUCAGUUUAAUUAUAGUGUCUGUUCAUUUUUUACAUUGAUUUUAUCAUAUUAUAAAAUUGUCAUACUGUAUAGUUCUUAAAACUGCAUAUGUUUUCCUGCUGCAAGUGCCACUGUUGUCACAAUGCUGCAAAGAGACGGUGCAUGGAUGCAUUUUUUAACUCUCAUGAGUGCUUGUAGAAGAAGAAUUGUACAAUGCGGAAAGAUGUUAUUUGCAUCUGCAAAGAGGGAUCAUAUUUGUAGAUUGAUUCCAUAAGAAUCAGGUCACUCCUUGACUAAUUCGAUCUUGAAUCAUUUGCAUUUUUUUAACAUGGUUGGAGAUGUCGUGUAGCAGGAGCAGGAGCUAAUGGACAGUCAGUGAGCCCCAAGGGCGGUGGCCCCUGCAACAUGAAGAAGACCAUCCAGACAAAGGGGAGGUACACGGAUAGCCAAGGAUGCAAGGAGACGUGCAGCGAUGGAGAUUUGCCUGAAUGUUGCUUUCCUCCGCGUGAAGUGCCUAGAAUUCUCGAAGGCGUCAACAAGACCCGAAGGAGAUUGACAAAGUAUUGACAAGGUUUGGUUGCAUCAACGAAUUGAUUUAAGACAAGAUAGCAAUGGGAACCAUUGUCCUAAAGUCAGCUGGAUCAUCAAAGUUCUCUGUGCAGCAAAGCCUGAUAGGCGUGUUGGAUGUUGCUGCAUGUCUCAGCCAACAGAGUGAUGAUACUGCUGUUGGAUCUCCAGCAACAUGCUACCAUAGCUCUUCGGGAAGCAAAAAGCUGAGAAUUGGCAGAUGACCGAUCUCAUGUUGUGAUGUGCUUUAGGUGUGUUGCUCACCGUUCUGGCUGUUUUGUUGUUUCAAACAUCUCAAUUUAGUUUGGUCAUUCGAGAACUAUAGCGUGGUCAAGUGUAUUGACUUUGUCGUUCAGCUCUCCGCUUGAGAUUAUUUUAGUUCUGAUUUACUUUCAUUUACUUUGUUUUGCAAGUAGCAUGUCCUUAGCGUGCCACCGUGUCAGUACAAUGCCAGUUUUUGUGUUUCAUAUAAUGCUUAAUUACAGUUGAUUGUACCUUUAUUUCUAAACAAACAAAAUCAACUGUAAUUUUGUAACUCAAUGCAGAUUGAAUUAUCAUACAUUCUGUAUAAAUGUAAUGCCUAUUAUAUAUUUCUGAAGUGUAUUAAUAACUGGAGAAUACUAUUAUGGGGCUAAUCAGAAUAUGGAAAUCCAUGACAUGUUCCGAUGCACACUUAUACUGAUGUUAGCAAGAGAUAGAAUCAAUACAUUGAUGUAGCAUAUCUGCACUGUUCAUGUACACUGAAAGUGACUAACUCUAUUGUUUUUCCCCCUCGCCAACUUAAUACAGUAUAGUUCCCAUUUAAUCUAAAUUGAGUCAGUGAUUAACUGGUUAUUUCUUCUGCAAUUGCUGCAUCAAAUCAUGCGACAUGCUUUCCCGUGAGCUAGCUUCUUCAAUACAUGCUUCUCUGAAUUUCUACAAGCUAAAUUAGUACAUGCUUCUCUGAAUGUUGGCCUGCCAAUUGGUAUUGGAUUUUUAUAUGUUAUAAUUUGCCCUAUCUCCUCUUCCUACACCCAAGAAAAAUAAUUAGAAAGCAUGAAAGAUGCCAAUCAAUAUUUUCUGCUGGAUAUGUCAAUUGUUGUAGCUAUUCCUACAUCCAUCGAUAGGCCAAGAUUUGUUUUUACAAAGCAUGAAAGAUGCCAAAUAUGCUGGAUUGAAUCCAAGCAAGAUUUGAGGAGAUUGUAUGUAGGGCAUUUAUGCCAAUGGAUUACUGCAUUUUUUUUUAGUUUCUAGACCAUUUGAAUGGAAGAACUGUGCAGAAUCUCUUUGACAAUCCAUGGAAAAUGCACCUAAAAUUCAGUACAUGCUUCUCUGAAUAUCUUGAAUAAAGUAAGCAAGAUUUGUUCGUAUACGUUGUCUGCCAAUCGUUAUUGGUACCAUGCAUGCAUAUGUUUCAGAUUCUUAAUCCAAGUGCCACUUCUAUACGUGAUAAGGUGAACUUUUGAUUCUCAUUGUGCAUGUUCAUUAUAUUUGUAGCAGUAAUUGACAGUGGUGAAGAUCAGUCAAUUUUGCAGCAAACUCAUAUUUCUAGACGAAUAUCCGUGGUGUUGUUGUGGCUGCAUUUGUAUACUGCUGUUUUCCAACAUGUUUGUGUGACAAGAAAAUAAUUAAACAUCAGUCACGGUCGUCAAUUCAUCAUUUUCCACAUUUUUUGGUGACUACAGUAUAUAAAUCACAUCCCGACCACCACGGCCGCAACAGAGAUCACAAGGAACAUGAGAGAAGAUAGCAAGAUCCAUAACCCCCUCCUACUCAUUUAUCGUCAUACACAGUUUUUUUGCUUGUAUUUGUUCAAGAAUAAAAACAUUGUGUAUUCGUUUAAUUUCUAUGAAGUUCUCUUAGUCAUAUUUCAGACGUGCAUUGCACGUGCAAGCUUACUAGUCACAUAAAACAGUUGAAAUCCAGAACGCAGCCCACAUACCCAAAGGCCCAUAAAACAUGACAAACCCCGCCCGACGCGAAACGGGCCGACAAAAGAACACACCGAUGCCAAACACACACGACGCGGGGCACUGUGCACAGUUCUGCACGAAAUUUUCAGACUUGUCCCAAAAAAAAGAAAACCAAAUUUUCAGACCGUGUAGGCGGCGGCGGGCCGGACCUAGGGCGACGAGUCGACGACGGCGGUGGCUGCGGCGACCCAGAGAGGAAUUUCUCUGUUAAAUCUGGGGCAAAGGGUUGAGCAGGGCGCCGCCGAGGAAGGAAGGCCGCCGAGCGGCCGCCUGGCCUGGCCUGGCCAUCCCACGCGAGGAAGCCAGCGCCGGCAGCUCCGCGCGAGGAAGACGACGCCGGCCUUAUAGGCGGAGCGCCCUU